GGGCGCUUAGCUCAGCUGGUAGAGCAAUCGCCUUUUAAGCGAUCGGUCAUGGGUUCGAAUCCCGUAGCGCCUACCA
rnacentral:tRNA from 1 species